UACGAAGGGGGCUAGCGUUGCUCGGAAUCACUGGGCGUAAAGGGUGCGUAGGCGGGUCUUUAAGUCAGGGGUGAAAUCCCGGAGCUCAACUCCAGAACUGCCUUUGAUACUGAAGAUCUUGAGUUCGGGAGAGGUGAGUGGAACUGCGAGUGUAGAGGUGAAAUUCGUAGAUAUUCGCAAGAACACCAGUGGCGAAGGCGGCUCACUGGCCCGGUACUGACGCUGAGGUGCGAAAGCGUGGGGAGCAAACAGG
rnacentral:rRNA from 1 species